rnacentral:rRNA from 1 species
GUCUACGGCCAUACCACCCUGAACGCGCCGGAUCUCGUCAGAUCUCAGAAGCUAAGCAGGGUUGGGGCUGGUUAGUACUUGGAUGGGAGAAAGGGGAAGUUGUUGUACAAG